UGAGGCUCAAGAUUGAAAGGACUAGUGAGGUUGAACUAGACAAUUUAACUGGUCUAGAUUUGGUGGUUGACUUAGGUGACAUAAUGGAAACAGUUAAUAAUCUUAAUGGUAACAACAAUGGUGGUAAUGACAGAGGGGGCAAUGGACAUAAUGGGGAACAUAAUAAAGUAGGAGAGAAUAAUAGAGAUAACCCUAGAAGAAGAACCAUUAGGGAAGCCACUACUUCUGAUGCAAAUUAUGAUCCUUUUAAUGUUG